GUCCUCUCCACCGUAAGCCCCGUGAAAUAACUUCUGUUCCUGGCUGCCACAUGAUGACUGACCAAGAUCUCCAGGAUACACUUUGAUGAGGAAACCUCAGAAAGGUCUUGCCUUGGUUUGCUCACUCAGCUACCACGCAUUGAGCUUAUCCUAAAUGGUAAGCAGGAAACCAGAACUACCGACUGGGGUUUUCCAC
rnacentral:lncRNA from 1 species